UUAAGAAUCUUGCACAAUGGGGGCAACCCUGAUCCAGCCAUGCCGCGUGAGUGAAGAAGGCCUUCGGGUUGUAAAGCUCUUUCAGGUGGAAAGAAAUCGCAUCUUUUAAUACAGGGUGUGGAUGACGGUACCAUCAGAAGAAGCACCGGCUAACUACGUGCCAGCAGCCGCGGUAAUACGUAGGGUGCGAGCGUUAAUCGGAAUUACUGGGCGUAAAGCGUGCGCAGGCGGUUAUGUAAGACAGAUGUGAAAUCCCCGGGCUCAACCUGGGAACUGCGUUUGUGACUGCAUAACUAGAGUACGGCAGAGGGAGGUGGAAUUCCGCGUGUAGCAGUGAAAUGCGUAGAGAUGCGGAGGAACACCGAUGGCGAAGGCAGCCUCCUGGGCCAGUACUGACGCUCAUGCACGAAAGCGUGGGUAGCAAACA
rnacentral:rRNA from 1 species